rnacentral:rRNA from 1 species
UACGAAGGGAGCUAGCGUUGUUCGGAAUCACUGGGCGUAAAGGGCGCGUAGGCGGCCUGCUAAGUCGAACGUGAAAUCCCUGGGCUCAACCCAGGAACUGCGUCCGAUACUGGUUGGCUUGAAUCCGGGAGAGGGACGUGGAAUUCCAGGUGUAGCGGUGAAAUGCGUAGAUAUCUGGAGGAACACCGGUGGCGAAGGCGACGUCCUGGACCGGUAUUGACGCUGAGGCGCGAAAGCCAGGGGAGCAAACGGG